rnacentral:rRNA from 1 species
AAUCAACGCUGGCGGCGUGCCUAACACAUGCAAGUCGAACGCGAAAGCCCCGCAAGGGGUAAGUAGAGUGGCAAACGGGUGAGUAACACGUGGGUGACCUGCCUUCGAGUGGGGGAUAACGUCCCGAAAGGGACGCUAAUACCGCAUGACAUCCUGCUUUUGAAAAAGCGGAGAUCAAAGCUGGGGAUCGCAAGACCUAGCGCUUGAAGAGGGGCCCGCGCCUGAUUAGCUAGUUGGUGAGGUAACGGCUCACCAAGGCGACGAUCAGUAUCCGGCCUGAGAGGGCGGACGGACACACUGGGACUGAGACACGGCCCAGACGCCUACGGGAGGCAGCAGUGGGGAAUUGUUCGCAAUGGGCGCAAGCCUGACGACGCAACGCCGCGUGGAGGACGAAGAUCUUCGGGUCGUAAACUCCGGUCGAGCGGGACGAACGCUUCGCGGAUGAAUAAUCCGCGGAAUUGACGGUACCGCUAAAGGAAGCCCCGGCUAACUCCGUG